GUGCACGCUUCGGCAGCACAUAUACUAAACUUGCAACGAUACAGAAAAGACUAGCAUGGCCCCUGUGCAAGGAUAACAUGCAAAUUAGUGAAGAGUUCCAUAUUUAA
rnacentral:snRNA from 1 species